UCUACUUUUACUCUUUUCCUGAAUUCUUUUAUUAAAAACCCCAGUAUAAUUUUGAGCAUCCCUGAUGAAUGGAGAGUGAAGAAGCUCUAAGAUUAGCCAGAACCUGAGGCUUCUGGAAGACAGGAGGUGCCUAGUACAGACACUCUUCUCUCAUAUUAAAUGCCAGAUGUGUUCUAUCUAGAAAAAACAUGUCUUAAAAAUCCUACAAGAGUGCAAGCCCUUGUGGCAUCAAUAUUUGGGAAUAAACAUAAUUUUGAAAAGCUAAUAUUUAAGAGGUAUUUUUUUCUUCUUUUUUAAAGCAAUGCAUUUAGAAAGAGAGGCUAGCUGCCUUCCUGUGUGAGUGCACACAUAUAAGGAUGUGCAUAUCUCUCUUCCCUGACGGAAGGGUAGAAGCCCAGAGACCACUGGGAAUUGGAAUGACAGGACAAGAAAGGAAGGACAUUCUUAACAUAGCAACACAACAAUGGUUACCCAGUUCAUCAUAGACAAAACUGAAGGCUGAAGGUUUUCUAUGGCAUGCUGGCAAGUAACAAGUUAGAAGACAAGAGGAGUGCAUAAAGCACCAGAUCAACAGAGGAAAGAAAUCGACUAUUACAGCCAAGUACUUCCUGGGCUUUUAUACAAAUAUGGAGGUCAUACAUUCAGAUGGAAACAUCUCUAAAGAAUGGAACAGUAGAAGAAGGAGCACUGAAAUACAAGAGGAAGCAAGCAGUGGAUAUGCACAAACAGACGCACAGACACAUUAUGUGAAAGUUUACUUUUGACUUGAAAGAUGAAUCUCUUCUCUCACGGGAGUCAAUACAACAUAUUCUUUCUUUCACUCAAUCUUAAUCUUUGUGAUGAUCAUCUAAUUAAAUGAAAACUCUUAGAGAUCCAUAAACUGAUUUCAGUUUACUGAGCCAAGACAGAAUACAAUUCUAUGUUUUGGCGUAAUAUCAAGUCUUGUUUACUGAAAGGAAAAACAAACUUUAUCUUGGAGUGAGAUUCUCUUUUCGAGUUUGCUGUACUGAGCCACAUAUUAUGACUCAUUCGGCAAUGAAUGUCUGAUAUAGAUGCUAAUACUUAGGCACAAUGCUCUCUGAGAUUUUAAUUUAGGGCUUUUCACAUUUUUUUGAGGUUAAGGCUCAUUUAGCAUCUAAGCCUCUUGCUUAGCACUUAGUUUUGAUUUCUAGAUGCAUUUUGAAUUAAAAGUUAAUAUCCUGCUUGACACACAGUACCUUAUCAUUAAAAGAAUGAGUAAGGCAAACACUCUACUAAUACAAAGUGAAGACCUGCAAGAAAGUUAAAUAUCUAACUUUCUUCAUUAACAGAUACGAGGAAGUGAGCUCAAUGAUGACUGGAGAAUCAAAAAAGAUCUGAAAGACUCUGGAAGUCAAAUGUAUAUUAUCAAAAUAAUGAAUUUCUUUCUAAAGAGCUAUUAUGAUGUGAGGUUUGAUGGCUUAUUGCUUUUUAGGUGAAAUAUUUCUGUGAAAAAUCUUAUUUGUUGUAUAUAAACCAAAAUCCAAAGAAAAGAAUUUAUACUGGAAUGUUCAGUUUGGAGUAACUUUGAUUUGAUUCAGAUCUGGUAACUAGUGUUAAAAGCUCCAUUGAAGGACAGGCUGUGUACUAUUCUGUUCACCAUUAUAUCCUCAGUAUCUAGCACAAUGCCUGAUGCAGAGCAGAUGUUUAAUACAUAUCUCUGGAAUGAAAUUGGAUAAAACACCAGACUAGCUGUCAGUAUUCUAACAGUCUAAUUUCUAAAAUAUCGAGGAAUAUUUUUUUCAAUUUAGCAAACCUGGUGUCUUAAU